UGCGUUCGGUGGAGUCAGGCAGUGUGAUACGGUCAGUCUCUCCUACAGUGCUCGCUGUCCUCUGACAAAGAUGACUGCUGGCCUCUGAGAUCUGACUCCUUCCGAGCAAGGAUGAGUCACUGCCCCUGGGUAAAUAGUGAAUGCUAUGAUGACACUCAAGACUGAAAGACAGUGAGUUGGAACAAACAAGAUACAGAUAAUGAAGAUUCUGCCUUCCAUUACUUCUCUGGUAUGAUUAAGAAGAACUAUUUAUUACCACAGGAAAUGAAAAAGCCAAAGAUGAGGCUGAAAGUCAUUCCAACAGAGUAGAGAUUCUGAUUCUUCUUUAAGUCUUUCAUACCAGAGACUUACUACACAAAGAAAGGUUGAAGUCAGUGUCAUGGGCUGGCAGUUCUAGCUUGCACCACAUUGGUUUGGAGGUUGCUGCUCAGGAGCCUGCUGUGAAAGGCUACAUCCCUUGUAGUAAUACAGCUGCAUGAGAAGUCCCUGUUAUAGGUGAAGGCAAGGAAGAGCAUAGAAACAGAGGGGUGGCUGCAGUCCUUUUGGGAAGGUGGGGAAGAAGCAGAAGCUGCAAGUCUAUGUGCCUGAACUGGAGACAAUAAAGAAAUGACACCUUCCCUGAUUCUAGGCAGCAGAAGAAAAAUCCCUCCCCAGAUGAAAGCUGCACAGGAUACUGUCCAUUGCUUUUUCCUACUAGUAAAUAAAUAAAAGUAACUUUCCAAUGAGCUCUAGUGUAACCUUCAGUGCUCUGAGCAGUUCUUUGCUUUUCCUGUUUUCAGCACAUCAUUCUCCACUGCAGUUGUGCUCCAAAGAGUUUAUAAACUUCAAAGCCUUGCUUAGAAAACAUUUUCAAAAGCAUUAUGCUUUCACAUAAUUUAUUCGUAAUACAGUAGUUUUCAGCUCCUACCACUUUAUUAUAUCAGCCUCAACUUUCCUUCUCAAUUCCAGCUCUUAACUACGUUCCAUCAUUUCUUCCACUCUUUUACGAGAUCCAUGGUUUUUAGGUGAAAAAUUGUUGAGGAAUGGAUGGUGUUCUCUAAAAGAUGUUGCACUGGGCAUAGCCAAACUGCAGAAGGGUUGGUUAAUUGGCAAAAAAGAAAUAACAUCCUUCUUCCAAAGGAAAAUAGAUAGUGAAGAUAUGUUUAGAUGCAUGAGAUAAUUGUUAAUCUGCAGGACUUCACUGAGAGCAUUCAGAAACUGGGUUUCACCGUAUGGUUCUUUAGAAGGAAAUAAAUCCCUCAGUCUGAGAUGUUCCUUCUGUAUAGAAAUGUCGUAUCUCACAUCUUUGGUGUGAGCUUUGCUCCUUUGGCUCCAGCCUCUGCUGUCUGUGUGGCCAGCCUCACACGUGCCGCAGUGAGGUCUCCAUCUUCUGUGAGCUCAUGUGCCUGAUUUGCCUCUUCCCCAGUCGGAUCAGCUGUGCUGGUAGGCAACAUCGUGGAGUGGAAGAGAAGCUGCAGCAUUGCCUGGCAGGCAGCCUGGCUUGGACAGCCCUGGUCCCAGUAUGAGCUAAUGUUAAGAUCUGGAAAAGAUGGGAGAUCGAUCUCUGUCACUAAUGUUGUCCAAGUGAUUAGUGUGAGCAAGAUGAUAAAUGAGCAUUCAACAAAUAAGGGAGCGGUCUGAUCGCUAACAGAAAGUAUUUUGCUGGUCACUUACACCACAGUGCUCAAUUACAUGGUCUCUGUUAACAAGAGUUCACCAAUCCACCAGCCACAUGUCCUAGGGGUCUUGGGAAAGGUGUAUUGUUCAUGGGGCAUAUGUAUGUAUAGAUGCACAUUAUAGAUGUAUGUAUAGUAUGUGUGUACUGUAAUAUAGUUACCUAUGAUAGUUUUUUUCAGUUCUUUGAAACUGGCAGCCUGUGCAUACUCAGGUGUCUUCUUUACCAUCCCUUAACUGUUACUUUCCUUAUCUACACCUGUCUCAUUUAGAAAAUAAAACUUGGA